UUUAAUUAAAGUUGUAGGUUUCUGUGCUCAAAAUUUGAUUGUCCAUCUUAUUUAAAUUUUUUAUGAUUAGUAUUUUUAUUGUUAUUAGAUAAAAAAUAAAUAGUACUUUAUGCGAUUAUUUUUUAUAUUUUUUAAAAAUAAGAUAAACGGUAAAACAUUAGACACAAACAACCACAACUGCAUUAUAA
rfam:Oryza nivara chromosome 3, whole genome shotgun sequence.